rnacentral:ncRNA from 1 species
AUCUUCGGGGUCGGGUGUGAUUCCCAACCGGCGGUAUAGUCCGCGACCCGCUGUUCAAGCGGCUGAACCGGUGACUCGUUACAGAGAAUUCCGGUACCGACAGUAUAGUCUGGAUGAGAGAAGAA